UACGGAGGAUGCAAGCGUUAUCCGGAUUCAUUGGGUUUAAAGGGUGCGUAGGCGGCUUUUUAAGUCAGUGGUGAAAUCCUGUCGCUCAACGAUAGAACUGCCAUUGAUACUGAAAAGCUUGAGUACAGUUGAGGUAAGCGGAAUGUGUAGUGUAGCGGUGAAAUGCUUAGAUAUUACACAGAACACCGAUUGCGAAGGCAGCUUACUAAACUGCAACUGACGCUGAUGCACGGAAGCGUGGGGAUCGAACAGG
rnacentral:rRNA from 1 species